GGGACCACAGGCGCCCGCCACCACGCCCCGCUAAUUUUUUGUAUUUUUAGUAGAGACGGGGUUUCAUCGUGUUAACCAGGAUGGUCUCCAUCUCCUGACCUUGUGAUCUGCCUGCCUCGGCCUCCCAAAGUGCUGGGGUUACAGGCAUGAGCCACCGCGCCUGGCCUCUUUUUUUUUUUUUCUUUUGAGACAGAGUUUCGCUCUGUCACCCAGGCUGGAGUGCCGUGGCCUCAUCUUGGCUCCCUGCAACUUCCACCUCUCAGGUUCAAGCCAUUCUCCUGCCUCAGCCUCCCGAGCAGCUGGGACUACAGACGCGCACCACCACGCCCAGCUAAUUUUUGUAUUUUUAGUAGAGACGGGGUUUCACCAUGUUGGCCAGGCUGGUCUCGAACUCCUGACCUCAGGUGAUCCACCCACCGCGGCCUGCCAAAGUGCUGGGAUUACAGGCGCGAGCCAGCACACCCGGUCACACCUUUGCAUCUCUAGGCAAGAUUCGUAGUCAGAAGACACAAAACCAGACUUGGAAUUCCUGAUUUAGGGUUGAAAUGGCCUCAAGCCUGGGAAUACGUGCAGAUACCUAAGGACUGGAAUUCCGCCCAGGAUGACCCUCAAAGGGAAGUUCACGUUUCAGACCUACGGUGUGUGCAGAGCUCAGGCCCCAGGAACUUGGGGACAGAGGUGCCUUCUCGCUUCUCUCUGAAUCUGUGUCUGAGGUGAGAGAGGCAUGGCCCUGGUGGCCUUUCUUAAUUUCAGGUUGGGUUCCAAGAAAGCAAUGACGGCUCGCGAUUUCUUCUUUCUCACGCCAUUCUCUGUUCGGUUGCCAAGGAAGUGGAAAAAAAUUGGUUUUGCUUAUCUAAAAAGGUUCAGGAAACAAAACCAUACCAGAUAUAUGGUAAGCAAUAUUCAACUCUUUACAUGGAAGGAAAAAUCAGCCCUUGAGAACUGGGACCUGGCCUGGCAUUCGUCCCACGCCACAUGAUUCUGUUGAACAGCAAUGAUUUUACACCACCCCGACAUCAGAUGGGGCCACGGGGUGAGAAUGAGCAAAGCAAAAACAAGAGUGCAGGGAAGUUCUCCAGGUGGCCUGAGACUGACCCAAUCUUCCCCACUCUUGACUGUAGCUCUCAAGAAUAACUAGAAUGUACUGGGAAUGCAGCCGGGCACGGCGGCUGAUGCCUGUAAUCCCAGCACUUUGGGAGGCCAAGGUGGGCGGAUCACCUGAGGUCAGGAGUUCGAGACCAGCCUGGCCAACAUAGUGAAACCACGUCUCUACUGAAAAUACAGAAUUGGCCGGGCGUGGUGGCUCACGCCUGUACUCCCAGCACUUUGGGAGGCCGAGGCGGGCGGAUCACGAGGUCAGGAGAUCGA
rnacentral:lncRNA from 1 species